GCACAGACCUCAGACAUCUCGGGGAUCAUCAUGUCACGAGAUACCACUGUGCACUUGUGACAGAUUGAUAACUGAAAGGUCUGGGAGCCGCUCAU
rnacentral:pre_miRNA from 1 species